GGAGACGUCGCAUAGUCCGGUCGAGUGCACCACCCUGCUAAGGUGGAGUCCCCUCACGGGGACCGCGGGUUCAAAUCCCGCCGUCUCCG
rnacentral:tRNA from 2 species